rnacentral:rRNA from 1 species
UACAGGGGGUGCAAACGUUGCUCGGAAUCAUUGGGCGUAAAGCGCACGUAGGCGGUUCGUUAUGUCGGAUGUGAAAGCCCUUGGCUUAACCGAGGAAGUGCAUCCGAAACUGGCGAGCUAGAGUACUAAAGAGGAUCGCGGAAUUCCCGGUGUAGAGGUGAAAUUCGUAGAUAUCGGGAGGAACACCGGUGGCGAAGGCGGCGAUCUGGGUAGAUACUGACGCUGAGGUGCGAAAAGCGUGGGGGAGCAAACAGGGAUUAAGAA